CAUGAGUCACUGUUCAGGUCAUACUGAUGUUCGCUGUUGCCCCGGUGAUAGGUUCCUGAGACAUCACAAUGGAGAAUCUCCUGUGGCAGUGUGUCAGGAAUGGGGCUCAGGCCCCUCCCUGCCAUUAUGUCCAUAGGAUAGUCUCUAGAGGCCAGGAUUCGCUGAAGUGAGACGAGGAGGAAGGGUCUUCAGGUGGAGGGAACUCCAAGAAAGCAGCACGGAAUCCCUGUCUCAGGCCUGCACUAACCGGGUACAGGGCCUCCACAAGCGAGCGGUCUUCUGUUUUAGCUGCCAGAAGAGGAGACUCAGGACUCCCCAUGGGCCCUCCAGACUAUGAAUCCCAUUUUACAUCCAAUCUGGGAGCCAAGAUUCUGGAUGGCCCUCAAGAAUGAGAGAAGACGAGCAGGCUUCACGAACGCCAGAUGGAACCACUGGAGAAAGAGUGAUGACUGGACAGGCAGUGGGUUUGUGGAGGCCUGGAGAAAAGGCAUGCAUGAGACAGUCAGGUUCAAACCCAUAGGACUCAUGUCCUCAGGGCCUCCACAAGCUAUCAGUCUUCUGCUUCAACUCCUCAUGGAAGAGGCGAUUAAAGGUGCCAAAUGGGCUUUCCAGAUUCCACCUCGGAUCAUAUGUUGGACCCCACCUAGGUAAGUGGGAAUGAAAUUACAAUGGAGGAAGGAGGAAAGUGCCUCGCUGGGGCACAGGUAGAUCUCAUGGGCCCCAAGGCAUGAUGUCCCCACCCUGCCACCCAUCAGGUAUACCAGACACAACGUCUUCUGCACCCAGCAAAACCCAAUCCCUUUGGCCAGCUCCCUGGAAUCCAUGGCAGCCAAAAGAUUCAGUGCUUGAAUGUACUUACUCAGGAUCAGAGGAGCCGGUUGACCCUCAAGAAUCAGAGAGCAAGGGCAGGUGAAUUGCAACAUCGCCUUGUGCAGAGAAUAAUAGCCAGCCAGGCAGACAUCCAGUGGGACACAGAGAACAAGAGAGCUUCCCUGUCCUACAUGGGGAUGGAAGCCCAGAGCUCCAGGAUCAUUGCACCUGCCCAGUCAUCCAGAAACAGCUUUGGAUGGAGAAAGGGACAUGAAAUGCAUCCCCAUGAAGUUUCCUCCUGCUGGACUGGGGUGAGUUCUCUGUUGAAGGCACCGAGUGAGA